AAACAAAACGAAAUUUUUUUUUUGUUCUUACGUUUUUCAAUUACUGGGGGGACAAAUUACGUACUAACUGUUAGUUUCUAUGGUGAUUUCGUUUUAAUUAGUUACUUUUUUAUUUAUUACAUUCAAAAACACAGCUUUU